UACAACUUUCAGCACAGGAUGUGUAGGCUCCCACAACGAUGAAGAGCGCAGCGAAAUGCGAUACGUAAUGUGAAUUGCAAAACCUCGUGAAUCUUCUCAAUUUUGAACGCACACUUGUGCGCUUCUGGGAAAAAUCUGGUAGACAUAUUUAUCUG
rnacentral:rRNA from 1 species